rnacentral:misc_RNA from 1 species
AAGAUGAUUUCACUGUAAUUAGAUGGGAAGGUCUAACAAAAACUAAGUUUGAUGGUAAUACAUGUGAAAAUAAAGUUAAAGGGAUAUCGAACUCUACUGUUGAAAAGCUGGCUAAUGAAAAUGUAAUCUGGAAGCAAGAGAUUAGCAACUCAAAUACCAUAGAUCCAAAACAGAAUCAUCCAGUAAACUAUCAGUGUAUUCCCAUGGAUAGAAAUAAUGAUAGUCAGGAAACUGAAGAGUCUGAAGUGCCUAAUUUGGCAAGUAGAAGACAACCAGUUGUCCUCAAGAGAAACCUUUCUCACAGUCAUGAAACUGCAGGGUCUGCAGAGCAUAGAUUUGAUAGUAGAAAACAACCAGUGGUUGUUCUCGAGAGGAUAAAAGUGGAAUCUGAUUUGACAGUUUCCAACAUACCUGAAGAGUUGGGAAAAAAUAUGCAAGAGGGAUUCAGUGAAAACAUUGGGAAUAUAAACCUUUCUGAGGACAGUGUUGCAGGGACUUUAUUGGACGUAAACACUGAAGAAUGUUCCACUGAAUUCUCCAAGCAGGGAAUGUUUUUGAGAGGUGUGAAAAAGCCUUAUACCAGAUGUGGUGUUCAACAGAAAACUAAACAAUCAGCAAGUAAGAUAGAUAGUGGGGACUUUUUUCCAUUCGCUUGCGGAAAGUGCAACUAUACAUCAAAAUUGAAGCAUCGAUUGAAAAGACACAUGAAAUUACACAUGUCUGAUCGACCUUUCGUGUGCGAGAUUUGCAAGAAGGCAUUCAAGCUUCCUCAAUACUUGUCUGAACACAAGCGAACGCACUCGAAGGAGCGACCAUACUCGUGUGAGCAGUGUGGGCGAUGCUUCUCUCAAUUUAGCACCUUGCAUAGACAUAAGAGAAUCCAUCAAGGGCUCAUGGAGCAGAUCCAGCAUAAAUGCUACACAUGUGGCAAGAGCUUCUCUAUGGCAACUAGCUUGCGCCGUCAUUCGAAGAUGCACGAAAAUCUUGAGAGAAAGGUCAGAAUGUUUCAAAAUAUCAAAGAGAAAAAUUUAACUUUCAACUCAACUGUAGAUGACCAUCAACGAGAGUUCGAAUGUGGCGAGUGUGGGCGCAAGUUUCUCAGAAAGGACGAUGUGAUGAAACACAUGUUGAAACACACUGGGGAGUCGAUGUACACGUGUGAAGUGUGUGGGAAGGGUUCUUGCAGCAAGCAGGCUUUACAAAAACACAUCAACAUCCACACUGGGGAUGAUAUAGAGGUGAAUGUUACUGGGUACUCAUCUUCCGGCUGAUCUACGGCAUCUUACGUGGGAAUGCACGAAAAUCUUGCUGUGGAUGACCAUCAACGGAAGUUCGAGUGUGGCUGCAAGUUUUUCCAAAAAGAACCAUGUGAUGCGACACAUGAUGAUACACACUGGGGGGUCGAUAAACAUUCACGUGUGUGGGAAGGGUUAUAACAGCAAGAAGGCUCUACAAAAACACAUCAACAUCCACACUGGGGAUGAUAUAGAGGUGGAUGAGGAUGACACAGGGUCCUCUUCUUCCAGUGACUCAGCAGGAGAGGAUGACUUGUAUGACUGUUUUCUAUCAUAUUAAAAGUUAUCAAUAAAAUUAAAUAAACAGUCAAUUUUAUAUUCAAUAUAAUAAUCUUAAAGGUAUAUAAGCUAUAAUUUGCAUCAAAUUUGAAGUACAGAAAAAUGCAUGUGUUUGUUUACUACUACAUGUAAUAAAAAUUACCUUUAUUCUGUAAAAUACAAUGGUAAACUCCACCUUUUUACAAAGAUAUAGAAUUUUGAUAGUUUAUUUUCCUGCUGGGAAAGUAAUGUCUUUUCAUGAAUAAUGAUGAAGGAAGAGAAAAAUUGCCCUCAUUGUGCAUGUCCGCAAUAGAUCAGGUGGCCAUUAUUGUUAGUCCGAUUACAUAUCCGUCUUGAUUUGUAAUAUGCUUAACAGUUGUUAAUGAAAUAUAUAUAC